rnacentral:lncRNA from 1 species
ACAUAGGUUUUUGGUGAUCCCGGAAAACCAAAGUGUAAAGAUUUUUGGAUUGUGAGCCCGGAAAACAAUCCAACUGUAAUCCGAGGGAUUAUAGUGAAUUCCCAAGGAGAGGCUUGGGGAGUGGACGUAGGUGCUUGGAGUGCACCGAACCACUAUACAUUAUCUUGUUUGUGUUGUGCUUGUUCUUGUAUUUAUUCUUGCUUUAUAUUUGAUUCUUGCUCUAGGGUAAGUUCACACAAGUAACUUAA